rnacentral:rRNA from 1 species
CAGUCGCCGCGGUAAUACGAGGGGAGCUAGCGUUAUUCGGAAUUACUGGGCGUAAAGCGCACGUAGGCGGUUGUGUAAGACAGGUGUGAAAUCCCCGGGCUUAACCUGGGAACUGCGCUUGUGACUGCACAGCUAGAGUAUGGCAGAGGGGGGUGGAAUUCCACGUGUAGCAGUGAAAUGCGUAGAGAUGUGGAGGAACACCGAUGGCGAAGGCAGCCCCCUGGGCCAAUACUGACGCUCAUGCACGAAAGCGUGGGGAGCAAACAGGAUUAGAUACCCCUGUAGUCCCUGUCUCUUAUAC